rnacentral:misc_RNA from 1 species
UAAAAUUAAACAUUUUGCUGCUAAUAAAUCAGAGUUGUACUCCUGUGUAGAAGAGAAAAAUAUAGAGUUCAAUAUACUAGAAAUCAGCUUUUAAAUUACUGUAGUCUGAUUGUAAUUUACAUAAGUAGUUGACAUGAAUGUGAAAGCUACUGCUGUGAGGAAGGUAACACCAGCAAAAUAACAAUGGCAGCAGGACCAGCUUGUGAAAGUAGAGUAAAAUAACACUAAUUGUGAACGUAGAUGAUUUUCUCCAUGAUUUCCAUCAGAUUCUUCUUCUAUUGUCAAGUCGUGUUUUCUUGGGCGCAGGACCAGCUUGUAGGUGCUCGGUACCUGAUUGAAUCUUAUUGAGCUUUUCCCUGACCAGCCUAACAGUCUGAUUCAUAGAGUGGGACGGAAAAUAUUCCUGCAAACAAUCACAAUAUUGAGAACUAUAAAACUGCCAUAGUCAAACAUAAUCUCCAAACUAAUCACACAGAUAAAAGAAUCCCUAAUUUCACAGCUUUACAGCAUCACAUUUCUUGUUUAACAUCUAUAUCCAGGGUUAGAACAAGGGCUAAAUAAUCCUACAAAUGAUAUGCAACAUUGAGAAUAAAGAAUUGGACCUUGAUAAAAAUAAACCCCUUGAUAAUCACAAGAGUAAAAUAAUGCUGACUUUUCAAUGCUUUAUCUCAGUGCAGCAUGUAUGGUAAACAUAAAUUUAUUCUCAGAAUAAGCGCCGCAUAUUUUCCCCUAUGCAGCAUUGAAGAUAAUGUUUCAGGUCUACUACCAUUAAUAUCUUCCAAUAUAUUGCGUUCUCCAUAACUUUCAGGCAAUGAACAUUGUGAUAGUUGAAUUCCAAAUGACAAUGGCACAAUGUACUUGAAGAUAGCAACUAUCAAUUUCCAACAUAAUAAAAUGACUGUAGUCAUUUUGACUUAGAUGGUGGAUCUAAUAUACAAAAGAAUGUUGGGUUUGGGACUACCCACAGUCCUAAUCAACCUGUUCAAACUAAUUAGAUGCAUUUACCAAGAGAAUAUCCAGGAUAUCUUAAUGUAGCCAAUUUCACCCCAGAAACCAGUUCUGCACUUUAAAAUGCAUUUGAAGGGUUUAAAACACCCAGGAAAAACGAAAGAGAGUUCCCAGGUGUCAGUGUCAGUAAAAGAGCAGCAACAAACCUGAUCAGAGGAAACCUGUGUGAUGGGAGGAUCAUUUAUUUGAGACUUAUGUUGUGAUCCUCCAGCGUCCCAAAAUUGAUCAGAGUUUGUAUGGUGACAAAUGUAGCCAGUCUGCGAUGUAGCUGCAACCAUUGAAGCCUCACUUGAAGCACCUGUGUUAUAAACUCUAGGCCCCUUGGAUCUUCCAGGGUUCAAUCUGGCAAGAACUUCCUUUCUCCUCCCUUCUAACUUGUCCUUGGUAUCAGAGAGGCUCUCGAAAUGAGGUGCAUAUGAUACCUGUAAUCGAUUCCCCAGAAAAACAAACUCAUCCAAUUUUCUUUUUGCAAACCUGGCAUUGCUGACCAAACGAAAUUUGAUCCAGUAAACAUCAGUAAAUUGCUCACAGUCUUCUGCAUCCAUGGGUUUAAAGUCUUCAACGUCUCCAUAGGACGCAAAAAGCUUCAACAAAUCAUCGCCGCAACCCAAAGCGGGAACGUUUCUCACAAUCAAAUAUCUUGAUUCGUCGCAGACUGUGUAAACGCGAAUUGCGGGAGGCUCGUCUUUGUAUCGAGGCAUUGUCUGCUGUUUUCUUUUCCCCUUCCAAAACCUCAAAAAAUUUCGCAAUUAGCACCGCAUCUUGCUUUUGAACUCUGUGAAACGAUGAAGGAAACCAACACCGAGAGAACAAUUCGGAAGUACAAAAUUAUGCUGUAGACGGCUGGUGUGCCCCAGAACGAG